UAGGCGAUGGGAAAUGCGAUGCCCAACCUAUUUUUAGCGAUGGGCAAUGCGCCACACAACUUAGCUUAAGCUAUAGGCAAUGCGCCGCAUGUCCUAUGGCCCAAGGGCGUAAAAACUUUGUUUUUAAGUUUUUUUAAGGGCAACCAAGUCUUUUUACACUUCUUAAAUGUCUCUAAACAUAACCUUAUAAAAUUAAUAGCUCCUAAUGACAUUUUAACCC
rnacentral:lncRNA from 1 species